rnacentral:misc_RNA from 1 species
GAAACGCGAUAAGUAAUGUGAAUUGCAGAAUCCAGUGAAUCAUCGAAUCUUUGAACGCACAUUGCGCCCGCCAGAAUGCUGGCGGGCAUGCCUGUUCGAGCGUCAUUUCAACCCUCGACCUCCCCUUGGGGAGGUCGGCGUUGGGGACCGGCAGCACACCGCCGGCCCUGAAAUGGAGUGGCGGCCCGCCCGCGGCGACCUCUGCGCAGUAAUACAGCUCGCACCGGAACCCCGACGCGGCCACGCCGUAAAACACCCAACUUCUGAACGUUGACCUCGAAUCAGGUAGGACUACCCGCUGAACUUAA